rnacentral:tRNA from 1 species
ACCUGGUUGGCUCAGUGGUUGAGCAUCUGCUUUUGGCUCAGGUUGUGAUCCUGGGGUCGAAGGAUCCAGUCCUGCAUCAGGCU